UACGUAGGGUGCAAGCGUUAAUCGGAAUUACUGGGCGUAAAGCGUGCGCAGGCGGUUUUGUAAGUCAGAUGUGAAAUCCCCGGGCUCAACCUGGGAACUGCCUUUGUGACUGCAAGGCUUGAGUGCGGCAGAGGGGGAUGGAAUUCCGCGUGUAGCAGUGAAAUGCGUAGAUAUGCGGAGGAACACCGAUGGCGAAGGCAAUCCCCUGGGCCUGCACUGACGCUCAUGCACGAAAGCGUGGGGAGCAAACAGG
rnacentral:rRNA from 1 species